ACUGCGCAUUGUCGCCACAGGAAGGAAGUAGGCCACUCCGAUACAAAUAUAUAAAAACGAAUUCGCGCAGGAGAAAAUUUCGACUCUAGAGAGUUCACACGACAAUUAUAUGCGAUCCACAUUCGUGAUUAUUUGAACUCAUUUUGAAAAGUAGUAAAAUCAGUGCUACACUAAAAUAAAAAAAAGAGAAUUAAAAGCGGAUUAUUCAGGAAACUUGGGGUCCACCGUGCGGAUUGUAAACCAACAGGCAACACCUCCGAGUUCUCCACUAAGGCAGUGGAGGCUUCCUCACCGAAGACCCCCACGCGUCACGGGAUCGAACGGCCCAAAGAUAAGUCCCCAGUGCACAUAGGCUUUUUUUUUAAAGACCAGAAAGCUUCCCUUGUGCCGCGAAUCUAAUCCCCGGGAGUAGUCAUCACUAGACUCCUAUUGAUCAUAUAUUAUUAAAUUCAAUUAAUAAUAUUUUAUUUUGAGAUUUUGUUAUUUAACAUCUUGUAAUAGACAAUUGUAACAUUGUA